rnacentral:rRNA from 1 species
AUGGGGCGGUGGACCGGCGUCGUCCACGUCCCGCUCUCCCAAGGCGCCCCCCUCUUCCGCGUCGCCGCCUCGCUCAUACUCGCGCCCUCCAAAGCCCUCGCCGUUCCACGCGCAAACGCGAUCCUCUUCACGGGCGACCGCGUCCCCGGCACCGGCGAGCCGGCGAUCGAGCGGCUGUCGGACGCCGCCUACCUCGCCAAGCUCCUCGCUGGGAAGCUCGCCGGGGAAGCCAACGCGUGGGUGGUCGAUGCCGCUUGCUUUGCCGGGCCGUUUGCGGUCUACCGAGAGCUUGUGCCGGCCGUGGACACCGUUGGCGACCCUGAGCGGUAUGACCCCACUGGCCUACCGGCGGCGGCUGGCGUUGCCAACAUCUUGGCACAUUGUAUUCGGGAGAUACAAAAUAAGGUCAUGAGGGGGUCAUUGAAUGAUUCCGCAGGCAAUCAAGAACCUACUGCAUCAUUGCUACCGUCGUGUGCUCCUAAAACUACCAUCCUGGGAUUCAGUAAGGGUGGAGUUGUCGUCAACCAGCUUGUGGCAGAACUUUCUUACUGGGCCUCAAAAUCAACAAAAAGUUCAGUUGAUGUUUCACAGCGAAGCCCAUCCCUCUUGACCGGUGAUCUACUCGUUCCUGCUACAGCUAGUGAUGUUUUAUCAAGUAUUUCCGAGUUCCAUUAUUUGGAUGUGGGCCUCAAUUGUGCUGGAGCAUACACUACUGAUCAUGCGGUGAUCAAGGGGAUAGCCAGCUAUGUUUCCCAGACUAGUGAUACUCUCCGUUUUGUCCUUCAUGGGACUCCGAGGCAGUGGUCUGAUCCGAACCGCCCAUGGAUCCUGGCCGAGAAAAACACGAUGCUGCGGUUGCUUCAGGACGAGGCUAAGAAAUGUGAAGGGAGACUGAUGCCAUCUGAAAAGAAGUAUUUUGAUGGUAGACCACGCAGUCUGCUGAUGCAUUUUGAGAUUCUGGAAGCAAUGGACAUCUGCUGA